GUCGUAACAAGAUAGCCGUAGGGGAACCUGUGGCUGGAUUGAAUCC
rnacentral:rRNA from 1 species